rnacentral:lncRNA from 1 species
AAAAGAUGUAAAAGAUGUAAAAGAUGUGGAAAACGAAAUUAUGCUUCAUUUAAAAAGUAUUAAAUAUUAUAACAAUAAAAGAUUACCUAUUCAUAAUAAACAAACAGAUGAUGGUGAUGUUAAUGAAGUUAACAAGAACAACAGUCAAAUAGAAAAAGAAUUAUUACUACUUGAAUCAACUAACACUGAUGAAGCAAAAGACGAACAAACUGUAACAAAUAAAAAUUUUUAUUUUUUAAAUAAUAAAUUAUAUACUAAUGAAAUAUAUAAUAAAAAAAUUACAGAAGCUUAUUUAACUCAAAUUGUUCAACUUCCUCAUAUUCUUUUUGAUGAAAAAAAAGAACCCUGUUUUCUUAUGAAAUUUGAACAGUAUCUUCUAAUUAAACAGGAAUUUAUAACAAAAAUGCAAGACAUAACUGAGAAAUUUAUAAAUAAGAUGCUUUUUCUGAACAAAGAAAAAAAGGAGCUUCUCUGUGUUUUUGAAAAGGAUAUAAAAGAAUUAACUUCACAACAUAUGCUUAACAAUGUAUUGAACAUUUUAUACUAAAAAAGUGCCCAAGUUUUUAUAAUAAAAAAUAUGAGGAAAGCA